rnacentral:tRNA from 1 species
GGAGGGGUCGCAUAGUUUGGUUUAGUGCGCCGGUUUGCUAAACUGGUGUAUAGAUUAUAAAGUCUGUACCGAGAGUUCAAAUCUCUCCCCCUCCG